AAGUGACGUACUAUAAGUACUUGGAUUCCAAGCCGCUGAUUGGUUGAUAGUUAUGACAGGGUGCUGUGUUACUUCCUGGUUGGGACGCUGAGGGGAGCUGUUGCUGUGUGGUGUUUAAACGGUGACAGGGGUAACCAGAGGCCAGAUCCCGGAGCGGACGGGUCUCCCAUAUUAAGACAAUGAGAUGGAAAGACCAUAUUAAGACAGAGCUGAGACGCGGACUGCUCGGUGAAGGUCUGACCUGUGGGGCAGCUUUAUUUACUGGAGAUAAAGAGUUCCAGGCAAAGGGGGACAUUAAGCGCGCCGUAGUUAAGCUGCCGCAGCUUCUUCCUGCUUCCUUCUGCAUCAUGAUGGAAAAUAAAGUCUGUCUGAGUCAAAAUAUCACUGAAGGACUUUGAGUUUGAGCGACACCUUCAUGUUUAUAUCGACUUCACGUCUUAAGGAGAUUUUCUGAGACCGAGCAAGACGACGUUAUUUAUCUUUACGUCUCUCCAACAAGAAAACAGGUGCAGACAUCAGACGGAUGUCAGUGUACAACCACAUCACAGAAGCUGCAGAGCGAUAUUUAAGAGAGAGAGGAUCACCACAGAGCUGAGGAUGAAGCUCUCUGAAGAUGUCUCCUUCCUCUGAGUCAUGGUUUCAGAUCACACUGGUGCAGCAGUGCAGCUUUAAUUUAUAUAAUGAAUCUCAAAACUAAGAUCAUAAAGUAUAUGAUUCAUAAUCAA